rnacentral:rRNA from 1 species
AGAUUGAACGCUGGCGGCAGGCCUAACACAUGCAAGUCGAGCGGUAGAGAGGUGCUUGCAUCUCUUGAGAGCGGCGGACGGGUGAGUAAUGCCUAGGAAUCUGCCUAGUGGUGGGGGAUAACGUUCGGAAACGGACGCUAAUACCGCAUACGUCCUACGGGAGAAAGCGGGGGACCUUCGGGCCUCGCGCCAUUAGAUGAGCCUAGGUCGGAUUAGCUAGGUUGGUGAGGUAAU